rnacentral:rRNA from 1 species
AUUAGCUAGUUGGUGAGGUAAUGGCUCACCAAGGCGACGAUCCCUAGCUGGUCUGAGAGGAUGAUCAGCCACACUGGAACUGAGACACGGUCCAGACUCCUACGGGAGGCAGCAGUGGGGAAUAUUGCACAAUGGGCGAAAGCCUGAUGCAGCCAUGCCGCGUGUAUGAAGAAGGCCUUCGGGUUGUAAAGUACUUUCAGUUGUGAGGAAGGGGGUAAAGUUAAUAGCGUUACCUCUUGACGUUAGCAACAGAAGAAGCACCGGCUAACUCCGUGCCAGCAGCCGCGGUAAUACGGAGGGUGCGAGCGUUAAUCGGAAUUACUGGGCGUAAAGCGCAUGCAGGUGGUUCAUUAAGUCAGAUGUGAAAGCCCGGGGCUCAACCUCGGAACUGCAUUUGAAACUGGUGAACUAGAGUGCUGUAGAGGGGGGUAGAAUUUCAGGUGUAGCGGUGAAAUGCGUAGAGAUCUGAAGGAAUACCAGUGGCGAAGGCGGCCCCCUGGACAGACACUGACACUCAGAUGCGAAAGCGUGGGGAGCAAACAGGAUUAGAUACCC